CUGCAGCCAGUUAAGCCGACCGUGCUGCCCUCCCCAUGGCGCCCAGUGUGCAGUGGCUGCCAACAGCAACCUCCUGGGUAGUGUGUGUAGCCUAUUGCUUCUAUCAGCUGCCCUAAGGGACCCUGGAGACAGCC
rfam:Erinaceus europaeus unplaced genomic scaffold scaffold00436, whole genome shotgun sequence